CAAUGGCAACCAGCCCAGAGGAAAUGAUCAGAGCUGCUGAUGCUCUGCCAAGGACUUUGUGAGAGAUCAGCAAAGGAAUUCUGCAAAGCAAAAACAUUGCUUAAACGGCACAAAAUCCAGUCAGAGACAUUCAGGACUAAGGAGGUGGGAUGGACUUGUGUUCUGAUUUGAGAAGGAAAAAAAGAGGGAAAAGCCAAGGAAGCCUACUGAUUUUUACCAUCAGGAAAGCCUAGGUAAUUAACAUACUGAGGAGUGCCUGGCUGCCAAGCCCUCCGUCUUGUGGUGACAAAAGAAUGCAUAUGAGACAUUUUUAUAAAAUGAACAAAGAGAAGCAGAAGAGCUGGUACUUCCCCAGACUAACACGGCUGCUACUCUGAAACCUACAUUAAGACAGGAUACCAGCUACAGGUGUGAUUUUAUUCUCCAGUAGGAUCGAGGAUAAUUCUACUCUUAUGUAGGCACAAACUGUACAACUCUCAAAGUCAACAGUAGUUUCAAGUACAAUUGCCAUGGGCAGAAUUUGGGACUCUCUGUGACCUUUUAUUGCUGUGCUCUUCAUGAUCAAUCAAGAAUUUAUCUGGUAUUUA